rnacentral:rRNA from 1 species
CCUACGGGAGGCAGCAGUGAGGAAUAUUGGGCAAUGGGCGCAAGCCUGACCCAGCAACGCCGCGUGAAGGAAGAAGGCUUUCGGGUUGUAAACUUCUUUUCUCAGGGACGAAGCAAGUGACGGUACCUGAGGACUAAGCCACGGCUAACUACGUGCCAGCAGCCGCGGUAAUACGUAGGUGGCAAGCGUUAUCCGGAUUUACUGGGUGUAAAGGGCGUGUAGGCGGGAAAGCAAGUCAGAUGUGAAAACCAUGGGCUCAACCUGUGGCCUGCAUUUGAAACUGUUUUUCUUGAGUACUGGAGAGGCAGACGGAAUUCCUAGUGUAGCGGUGAAAUGCGUAGAUAUUAGGAGGAACACCAGUGGCGAAGGCGGUCUGCUGGACAGCAACUGACGCUGAGGCGCGAAAGCGUGGGGAGCAAACAGGAUUAGAUACCCCGGUAGUC